rnacentral:rRNA from 1 species
GAUGAACGCUGGCGGCGUGCUUAACACAUGCAAGUCGAACGGUGAAGCAGGAGCUUGCUCUUGUGGAUCAGUGGCGAACGGGUGAGUAACACGUGAGUAACCUGCCCUUGACUCUGGGAUAAGCACUGGAAACGGUGUCUAAUACCGGAUAUGACCUUUGAAGGCAUCUUCUGAAGGUGGAAAGAAUUUCGGUCAAGGAUGGACUCGCGGCCUAUCAGCUAGUUGGUGAGGUAAUGGCCCACCAAGGCGACGACGGGUAGCCGGCCUGAGAGGGUGACCGGCCACACUGGGACUGAGACACGGCCCAGACUCCUACGGGAGGCAGCAGUGGGGAAUAUUGCACAAUGGGCGCAAGCCUGAUGCAGCAACGCCGCGUGAGGGACGA